rnacentral:rRNA from 1 species
AUUGAACGCUGGCGGCAUGCCUUACACAUGCAAGUCGAACGGUAACAGGUCUUUGGAUGCUGACGAGUGGCGAACGGGUGAGUAAUACAUCGGAACGUGCCUAGUAGUGGGGGAUAACUACUCGAAAGAGUGGCUAAUACCGCAUGUGACCUGCGGAUGAAAGCAGGGGAUCGCAAGACCUUGUGCUACUAGAGCGGCUGAUGGCAGAUUAGGUAGUUGGUGGGAUAAAAGCUUACCAAGCCAACGAUCUGUAGCUGGUCUGAGAGGACGAUCAGUCACACUGGGACUGGGACAAGGCCCAGACUCCUACGGGAGGCAGCAGUGGGGAAUUUUUGACAAUGGGCGCAAGCGUGUUCCAGCAAUGCCACGUGCAGGAUGAAGGCCUUCGGGUUGUAAACUGCUGUUGUACGGAACGAAAAGCAAUAGGUUAAUACCCUGGGGUCAUGACGGUACCGUAAGAAUAAGCACCGGCUAACUACGUGCCAGCCGCCGCUGUAA